rnacentral:rRNA from 1 species
UACGGAGGGGGCUAGCGUUGUUCGGAAUUACUGGGCGUAAAGCGCACGUAGGCGGCUUUGUAAGUUAGAGGUGAAAGCCCGGGGCUCAACUCCGGAAUUGCCUUUAAGACUGCAUCGCUAGAACGUCGGAGAGGUAAGUGGAAUUCCGAGUGUAGAGGUGAAAUUCGUAGAUAUUCGGAAGAACACCAGUGGCGAAGGCGACUUACUGGACACAUAUUGACGCUGAGGUGGCGAAAGCGUGGGGAGCAAACAGG